AGUGAACGCUGGCGGUAUGCUUAACACAUGCAAGUCGAACGGCAGCACAGUAAGAGCUUGCUCUUACUGGCGGCGAGUGGCGUACGGGUGAGGAAUACAUCGGAACCUACUUUUUCGUGGGGGAUAACGUAGGGAAACUUACGCUAAUACCGCAUACGACCUACGGGUGAAAGCAGGGCAUCUUCGGACCUUGCGCGACUGAAUGAGCCGAUGUCGGAUUAGCUAGUUGGCGGGGUAAAGGCCCACCAAGGCGACGAUCCGUAGCUGGUCUGAGAGGAUGAUCAGCCACACUGGGACUGAGACACGGUCCCGGCUCCUACGGGAGGCAGCAGUUGGGAAUUUUGGACAAUGGGGGGAAGCCUGAACCAGGCAUACCGCGUGGCUGAAGGAGGGCUUCGGGUUGUAAAGCCCUUUUGUUGGGGAAGAAAAGCAGUAGGUUAAUACCCCGCUGUUCUGGCGGUACCCAAAGAAUAAGAACCGGCUAAAUUCGUG
rnacentral:rRNA from 1 species